CCAGAGAAUUUAGCAGAGAUGCUUUAGUGCCUUCGGGAACUCUGAGACAGGUGCUGCAUGGCUGUCGUCAGCUCGUGUUGUGAAAUGGUUGGGUUAAGUCCCGCAACGAGCGCAACCCUUAUCCUUUGUUGCCAGCACGUAAUGGUGGGAACUCAAAGGAGACUGCCGGUGAUAAACCGGAGGAAGGUGGGGAUGACGUCAAGUCAUCAUGGCCCUCACGAGUAGGGCUACACACGUGCUACAAUGGCGCAUACAAAGAGAAGCGACCUCGCGAGAGCAAGCGGACCUCAUAAAGUGCGUCGUAGUCCGGAUUGGAGUCUGCAACUCGACUCCAUGAAGUCGGAAUCGCUAGUAAUCGUAAAUCAGAAUGUUACGGUGAAUACGUUCCCGGGCCUUGUACACACCGCCCGUCACACCAUGGGAGUGGGUUGCAAAAGAAGUAGAUAGCUUAACCUUCGGGAGGGCGUUUACCACUUUGUGAUUCAUGACUGGGGUGAAGUCGUAACAAGGUAAGCGUAGUGCU
rnacentral:rRNA from 1 species